rnacentral:rRNA from 1 species
UACGUAGGGGGCAAGCGUUGUCCGGAUUUAUUGGGCGUAAAGCGCGUGUAGGCGGUCCGGUAAGUCCGCUGUGAAAGUCGGGGGCUCAACCCUCGAAUGCCGGUGGAUACUGUCGGGCUAGAGUGCGGAAGAGGCGAGUGGAAUUCCUGGUGUAGCGGUGAAAUGCGCAGAUAUCAGGAGGAACACCUAUUGCGAAGGCAGCUCGCUGGGACGUAACUGACGCUGAGACGCGAAAGCGUGGGGAGCAAACAGG